rnacentral:rRNA from 1 species
AGUUGCGAAGGCGGCUCUCUGGACUGUAACUGACGCUGAGGCACGAAAGCGUGGGGAGCAAACAGGAUUAGAUACCCUGGUAGUCCACGCUGUAAACGAUGAGUACUAGGUGUCGGGGGUUACCCCCGUCGGGGCCGCAGCUAACGCAUUAAGUACUCCGCCUGGGAAGUACGCUCGCAAGAGGGAAACUCAAAGGAAUUGACGGGGACCCGAACAAGUAGCGGAGCAUGUGGUUUAAUUCGAAGCAACGCGAAGAACCUUACCUAAGCUUGACAUCCCAAUGACAUCUCCUUAAUCGGAGAGUUCCUUUCGGGGACAUUGGUGACAGGUGGUGCAUGGUUGUCGUCAGCUCGUGUCGUGAGAUGUUGGGUUAAGUCCCGCAACGAGCGCAACCCUUGUCUUUAGUUGCCAUCAUUAAGUUGGGCACUCUAGAGAGACUGCCAGGGAUAACCUGGAGGAAGGUGGGGAUGACGUCAAAUCAUCAUGCCCCUUAUGCUUAGGGCUACACACGUGCUACAAUGGGUAGUACAGAGGGUUGCCAAGCCGUAAGGUGGAGCUAAUCCCUUAAAGCUACUCUCAGUUCGGAUUGUAGGCUGAAACUCGCCUACAUGAAGCUGGAGUUACUAGUAAUCGCAGAUCAGAAUGCUGCGGUGAAUGCGUUCCCGGGUCUUGUACACAC